rnacentral:rRNA from 1 species
UUGCACUUCGACAGCG